AUGACCUGGCGGCAGCUUACACAUGCAAGUCGAACGGUAGCAGGAGGAAGCUUGCUUUCUUGCUGACGAGUGGCGGACGGGUGAGUAAUGCUUGGGAAUCUGGCUUAUGGAGGGGGAUAACUACUGGAAACGGUAGCUAAUACCGCGUAAUAUCGAGAGAUUAAAGGGUGGGACUUUCGGGCCACCUGCCAUAAGAUGAGCCCAAGUGGGAUUAGGUAGUUGGUGGGGUAAAGGCCUACCAAGCCUGCGAUCUCUAGCUGGUCCGAGAGGAUGGCCAGCCACACUGGAACUGAGACACGGUCCAGACUCCUACGGGAGGCAGCAGUGGGGAAUAUUGCACAAUGGGGGGAACCCUGAUGCAGCCAUGCCGCGUGAAUGAAGAAGGCCUUCGGGUUGUAAAGUUCUUUCGGUGAUGAGGAAGGCAGGUAUUUUAAUAGAAUACUUGAUUGACGUUAGUCACAGAAGAAGCACCGGCUAACUCCGUGCCAGCAGCCGCGGUAAU
rnacentral:rRNA from 1 species